rnacentral:rRNA from 1 species
CCUACGGGAGGCAGCAGUGGGGAAUAUUGCACAAUGGGGGAAACCCUGAUGCAGCGACGCCGCGUGAGUGAAGAAGUAAUUCGUUAUGUAAAGCUCUAUCAGCAGGGAAGAAAAUGACGGUACCUGAGUAAGAAGCCCCGGCUAACUACGUGCCAGCAGCCGCGGUAAUACGUAGGGGGCAAGCGUUAUCCGGAUUUACUGGGUGUAAAGUGAGCGUAGACGGCAGUGCAAGUCUGGAGUGAAAGGCGGGGGCUCAACCCCCGGACUGCUCUGGAAACUGUACGGCUGGAGUGCAGGAGAGGUAAGUGGAAUGCCUAGUGUAGCGGUGAAAUGCGUAGAUAUUAGGAGGAACACCAGUGGCGAAGGCGGCUUACUGGACUGUAACUGACGUUGAGGCUCGAAAGCGUGGGGAGCAAACAGGAUUAGAUACCCCAGUAGUC